AGAGAGGUCAAACCCAAAAGAGAUCGCGUGGAUGCCCUGCCUGGGGUUGAAGCGUUAAAUCUAAUCAGGCUAGUUUGUUAGUGGCGUGUCUGUCCGCAGCUGGCAAGCGAAUGUAAAGACUGACUAAGCAUGUAGUGCCGAGGAUGUAGGAAUUUCGGACGCGGGUUCAACUCCCGCCAGCUCCACCA
rnacentral:tmRNA from 1 species